GUAGGUGGCAAGCGUUGUCCGGGAAUUAUUGGGGCGUAAAGCGCGCGCAGGCGGUUCUUUAAGUCUGGUGUGAAAGCCCACGGGCUCAACCGUGGAGGGUCAUUGGAAACUGGAGAACUUGAGUACAGAAGAGGAAAGCGGAAUUCCACGUGUAGCGGUGAAAUGCGUAGAGAUGUGGAGGAACACCAGUGGCGAAGGCGGCUUUCUGGUCUGUAACUGACGCUGAGGCGCGAAAGCGUGGGGAGCAAACAGGAUUAGAUACCCUGGUAGUCCACGCCGUAAACGAUGAGUGCUAAGUGUUAGGGGGUUUCCGCACCUUAGUGCUGCAGCUAACGCAUUAAGCACUCCGCCUGGGGAGUACGGCCGCAAAGGCUG
rnacentral:rRNA from 1 species